AGUUAAGACUAGACUUCAGUCGGUUAACUGACGUAUUCAAAACAAGCUCAGACUAUUUUUUAAGUUUAUUCGAAUUUUGUGAUUCUAUGAUCUUUCAUGGAGUGUUUGUUCACUGAUUAUUUCACGCCUGUGUAUUAUUGCAAGUAUUGGAAAAUCCAACAUACACAAACAGCAGAUUCUUGUUCACUAUCAAUCCAAGUUACACAAACACCAAGUCAGUAGUCGACAAAAUUGUUACUGCCACAUAAUCAUGUAAUCUUUUUCACUGUAAAUCCAACAUACACAAACAACAAGUCAGUAGUCGACAAAAUUGUUACUCUCAGUUUUGUUCACUAUUAAUCCAACAUAUACACAUAGCAACACAACAUGCUUGAACAUCCUCGAAUACCAAUUGCUUACGGCUGCGUCGGAUCACAGGAUGCUCUCGUCAAUAUAUAUAACUUAGAACUAUAUUUGGAGUUCACUACAACCAACACAACGACAGGUCAAACAAGAUAUUGUAUUUCUGAAGAAGGGUUCCAUCAACAAGAUGCAGAAACAAUGUUAUAUGCUGUCCUACCCACCAACCCUAUAUUCCAUGCACUGCUCUGCACUGCGAAAUAUUUCUGCGGAUGAAUUUACAACGACAACUACUGGAAAACUGCAUAGUUAUUGACGUCAGCUAGCUCUACGAGGAUCGUCACAUUAAUGGAGACGUCAUCAGAAAACAAGUAAUUGGCUUUUUGUGUUAGAUAGCGUUAGAUAGCGUUAAAAAGAGAUCAAUAGAACUGGUUGGAUCUGAA
rnacentral:lncRNA from 1 species